rnacentral:miRNA from 1 species
GAGGAUUGCUUGAGCCUAGGAGGUGGAGGUUGCAGUGAGCUGAGAUCACGCAACUGCCCUCCAGCCUAGGC